GGAUCCUUUUUUGCCAUUCAGCUCUUUUUGAAACCAAUUCCUCAUCUAUCCAAAAAUUACCCUUAUAUUCUAACCAAGUGUAGUAUUUUGUUUCUGGAAUAGCAAUUCUUUCUUCCUUUUGCUUCGUCCUACUAUAAAUAGUUGACUGUGACCCUAGCGUUAAUGGAUAAAAAAUAUGUCUACCUUUUGAAGAUAAGCCUGAUAAGGCUGAUUGUAGUUUGGGCCCAGGCAAUGAUGAUAGACCUUGAAUAGACUGUUAUGGGAAUCAAAGAAGGAAAAGAAGAAAAGAAGUUUAGGGUCCAGGCAUUUCAAACAAAAACUAUUGCGCAUAUUCUUUCAUACACAGCUCUAAAUUGUUGCCAUAUUUGAUUAUUGAUUCCACUUUCAAUUACUUUUUAAGUUGUCAUAGGGACACCAAUUUUAACUUUUGGCUUUAGCUGUAGAAAUUGAACCGUUUAAAGCAGCAAAACUUACAUUAGCUAUGAUGCCUUGGUAUUAAUGACAAUUGAACAGGAUAACCACUGUUAAUCUUGUUAGUGUACAUCCUAUGUACAUGAAUGGACGUUACUCUUUUUGGUUAUGUACUUUAAUUUUUCUUAAAGUAUACGUGUAGGAUACUGUGCUUAUUCAUGCUCUUAUGUCUGUUUUUAUGAUGUUAUCAAUCAGGAUAUAUUUCGUUUCUUCAUGUUUGUGCAGGCAUAUGUGUUUUGCUUAAUGACAAUGUUACUGUUCUUAUUUCCAGGCAAGAACUAUGAGAAAGUA
rnacentral:misc_RNA from 1 species